rnacentral:tRNA from 1 species
GUUUCUGUAGUGUAGUGGUUAUCACGUUUGCCAAACACGGCGAAAGGUCCCCGGUUCGAAACCGGGCAGAAACU